UAACAGGUUAAGCUGACGAGUGGCGAACGGGUGAGUAAUAUAUCGGAACGUGCCCAGUCGUGGGGGAUAACUGCUCGAAAGAGCAGCUAAUACCGCAUACGACCUGAGGGUGAAAGCGGGGGAUCGCAAGACCUCGCGCGAUUGGAGCGGCCGAUAUCAGAUUAGGUAGUUGGUGGGGUAAAGGCCCACCAAGCCAACGAUCUGUAGCUGGUCUGAGAGGACGACCAGCCACACUGGGACUGAGACACGGCCCAGACUCCUACGGGAGGCAGCAGUGGGGAAUUUUGGACAAUGGGCGCAAGCCUGAUCCAGCCAUGCCGCGUGCGGGAAGAAGGCCUUCGGGUUGUAAACCGCUUUUGUCAGGGAAGAAAAGGUUCUGGUUAAUACCUGGGACUCAUGACGGUACCUGAAGAAUAAGCACCGGCUAACUACGUGCCAGCAGCCGCGGUAAUACGUAGGGUGCAAGCGUUAAUCGGAAUUACUGGGCGUAAAGCGUGCGCAGGCGGUUAUGCAAGACAGAGGUGAAAUCCCCGGGCUCAACCUGGGAACUGCCUUUGUGACUGCAUGGCUAGAGUACGGUAGAG
rnacentral:rRNA from 1 species